CACCUCAUUGUUUCUUUUCGUUUCCAAAAGUAACAGCCGAAUCACACCUACCGGCAACCGUAGAAGUCGGAAGACCAUCCGUCCUCGCCACCCCAUCCAUCGCCGCGCCUCCUCAUAGAAUCUGCAGAGCCGCCGAGCCGGAGAUACGACAGGCAGCAAGCGCACAUCCAGGAGCGGCGCCACCAGCUGAUCCAAUUUAAGGGGUGCCCGGUGAUCCUUCCCUUGUGUGGUUCGAGAUGGGGCCGCCGCACAUAGCCGGCGCUCAUCCAGGAGCAGCGGCACCGGCUGCUCCAACUGAUGGGGGCAUCCGGUGACCCUUCUCCCGUGUGAUUCGAGAUGGGGUCGUCAGGUUCUCCUGUCGCACGGUCCAGAUCUGACGGGGCCACAUCAGCCUCCACGGCAAAGCCUCGGACUGGAGGCGUCCACCAGUUCAUGAUGAGGUAGGAGUUCGAGCUCCACAAGGCUGGUACAGGGCGAAAGCUUACUGUGCAGCAGUUCGAGCUAUUCAUCAGCCGCUCCCCCAGUCUCAUUCUCUUCACGGGCAUUGUUCUCUGUCGGUUAGGUCCUCCAGCUUCUAGGUACUCUUUCAUUGGUUCCUCAGUUGCUGGCCGACCAACACCAAGGUCGCAGGGUUACUACAAGCAACAAUAAUUCCUUGUGAUUUAUCGAAUGAUGAUAAAAUUUGUAGAGCAACUGGGCUCAUUGUUGUGAUCUACCAUCGUCAACGACAUUGAUAUUUCACACCCAUCUCAAUCUGGUGC